rnacentral:rRNA from 1 species
AUUGGACGCUGGCGGCAGGCCUAACACAUGCAAGUCGAACGGUAGCACAGAGAGCUUGCUCUCGGGUGACGAGUGGCGGACGGGUGAGUAACGUCUGGGAAACUGCCCGAUGGAGGGGGAUAACUACUGGAAACGGUAGCUAAUACCGCAUAACGUCGCAAGACCAAAGUGGGGGACCUUCGGGCCUCACACCAUCGGAUGUGCCCAGAUGGGAUUAGCUAGUAGGUGGGGUAAUGGCUCACCUAGGCGACGAUCCCUAGCUGGUCUGAGAGGAGGACCAGCCACGCUGGAACUGAGACACGGUCCAGACUCCUACGGGAGGCAGCAGUGGGGAAUAUUGCACAAUGGGCGCAGGCCUGAUGCAGCCAUGCCGCGUGUAUGAAGAAGGCCUUCGGGUUGUAAAGUACUUUCAGCGGGGAGGAAGGCGGUGAAGUUAAUAGCUUCACCGAUUGACGUUACCCGCAGAAGAAGCACCGGCUAACUCCGUGCCAGCCGCCGCCGUAA